rnacentral:rRNA from 1 species
GAUGAACGCUGGCGGCGUGCUUAAUACAUGCAAGUCGAACGGAAAGGCCCUGCUCUUGCUGGUUGCACGAGUGGCGAACGGGUGAGUAACACGCGUGUAACCCGUCCCUGUAUUUGGGAUAUCUUUUGGAAACUGGGGCUCAUAUCGGGUAGGAUCUCUUGAUCCGUGUUGUGGGUUGGAAAGUUUCGGCGUUUCGGGAUGGUCUCGCGGGGUACGAGCUGGAUGGUCGGGUAGUUGAUUUCCAAGGCUAUGACGGGUAGCCGACCUGAGAGGCGGAUAGGCGACAUGGGAACGGAGCCACGGUCCAGAGGCCUAAGGGAGGCAGCAGUAGGGAACCGGCGGCAGUGGGGGAAAGCCUGACGGAGCAACGGCGAGCGAGUGAUGAAGGCCCCCGGAGCGGAAAACUCGGUUUUGAGGGAAGAACAAAUUUGUAAGUAACUAUGCACGGCUUGACGGUAAUUAAUCAGGAAGCAACGGCUAACUACGUG